rnacentral:rRNA from 1 species
GAUGAACGCUGGCGGCGUGCCUAAUACAUGCAAGUCGAGCGAACGGACGAGAAGCUUGCUUCUCUGAUGUUAGCGGCGGACGGGUGAGUAACACGUGGAUAACCUACCUAUAAGACUGGGAUAACUUCGGGAAACCGGAGCUAAUACCGGAUAAUAUUUUGAACCGCAUGGUUCAAAAGUGAAAGACGGUCUUGCUGUCACUUAUAGAUGGAUCCGCGCUGCAUUAGCUAGUUGGUAAGGUAACGGCUUACCAAGGCAACGAUGCAUAGCCGACCUGAGAGGGUGAUCGGCCACACUGGAACUGAGACACGGUCCAGACUCCUACGGGAGGCAGCAGUAGGGAAUCUUCCGCAAUGGGCGAAAGCCUGACGGAGCAACGCCGCGUGAGUGAUGAAGGUCUUCGGAUCGUAAAACUCUGUUAUUAGGGAAGAACAUAUGUGUAAGUAACUGUGCACAUCUUGACNGUACCUAAUCAGAAAGCCACGGCUAACUACGUGCCAGCAGCCGCGGUAAUACGUAGGGUGCCAAGCGUUUAUCCGAAAUUAUUGGGCGUAAAACGCGCGUAGGCGGUUUUUUAGUCUGAUGUGAAAGCCCACGGCUCAACCGUGGAGGGUCAUUGGAAACUGGAAAACUUGAGUGCAGAAGAGGAAAGUGGAAUUCCAUGUGUAGCGGUGAAAUGCGCAGAGAUAUGGAGGAACACCAGUGGCGAAGGCGACUUUCUGGUCUGUAACUGACGCUGAUGUGCGAAAGCGUGGGGAUCAAACAGGAUUAGAUACCCUGGUAGUCCACGCCGUAAACGAUGAGUGCUAAGUGUUAGGGGGUUUCCGCCCCUUAGUGCUGCAGCUAACGCAUUAAGCACUCCGCCUGGGGAGUACGACCGCAAGGUUGAAACUCAAAGGAAUUGACGGGGACCCGCACAAGCGGUGGAGCAUGUGGUUUAAUUCGAAGCAACGCGAAGAACCUUACCAAAUCUUGACAUCCUUUGACAACUCUAGAGAUAGAGCCUUCCCCUUCGGGGGACAAAGUGACAGGUGGUGCAUGGUUGUCGUCAGCUCGUGUCGUGAGAUGUUGGGUUAAGUCCCGCAACGAGCGCAACCCUUAAGCUUAGUUGCCAUCAUUAAGUUGGGCACUCUAAGUUGACUGCCGGUGACAAACCGGAGGAAGGUGGGGAUGACGUCAAAUCAUCAUGCCCCUUAUGAUUUGGGCUACACACGUGCUACAAUGGACAAUACAAAGGGCAGCGAAACCGCGAGGUCAAGCAAAUCCCAUAAAGUUGUUCUCAGUUCGGAUUGUAGUCUGCAACUCGACUACAUGAAGCUGGAAUCGCUAGUAAUCGUAGAUCAGCAUGCUACGGUGAAUACGUUCCCGGGUCU